rnacentral:rRNA from 1 species
UACGUAGGGUGCGAGCGUUAAUCGGAAUUACUGGGCGUAAAGCGUGCGCAGGCGGUUUUGUAAGCCAGAUGUGAAAUCCCCGGGCUUAACCUGGGAAUGGCAUUUGGGACUGCAAGGCUCGAGUGCGGCAGAGGAGACUGGAAUUCCUGGUGUAGCAGUGAAAUGCGUAGAUAUCAGGAGGAACACCGAUGGCGAAGGCAGGUCUCUGGGCUGACACUGGCGCUCAUGCACGAAAGCGUGGGGAGCAAACAGG